rnacentral:rRNA from 1 species
UAGGGAAUCUUCCACAAUGGGCGAAAGUCUGACCGAGCAACGCCGCGUGAGUGAAGAAGGUUUUCGGAUCGUAAAACUCUGUUGGUAGAGAAGAACGUUGGUGAGAGUGGAAAGCUCAUCAAGUGACGGUAACUACCCAGAAAGGGACGGCUAACUACGUGCCGG